UACGGAGGAUGCAAGCGUUAUCCGGAAUCAUUGGGCGUAAAGCGUCCGCAGGUGGCCCAUCAAGUCUGCCGUCAAAGAGUGGAGCUUAACUCCAUAAAGGCGGUGGAAACUGGUGAGCUAGAGUUCGGUAGGGGUAGCAGGAAUUCCCAGUGUAGCGGUGAAAUGCGUAGAGAUUGGGAAGAACAUCGGUGGCGAAGGCGUGCUACUGGGCCGAAACUGACACUCAGGGACGAAAGCUAGGGGAGCGAAAGGG
rnacentral:rRNA from 1 species